AUUGGUUUAAUUUUGAAAUGUUGAUGUUUUUUGUGUUGAUUGUUUGUGCUCAUUUUGACCUAUGUUACUAUUGCUUUCUACCAUGUUCAAUUCACCAUUGUUCUGCACAUAUGUGCUUGCAUACAAGUGUCCAGUGGUUAUAUUCAUGAGGCAUUCAAGGGACUUGUACUAAAAGAUACAACUCAGUUCAGUAUGAAUUGCAUAUUUUAAUGGCUGAAAAUAUAUCUGAUCUCUUUCAGAACAUCACCUGUCUGUAAUCCACCUGCUUAAGUUCUGGUCAAGGGGAUCAUUGGCUAUCAAGUUAUAGAUUUUAGUGGCUAAUAGAAGACACUGCUGAGGUCAGACGAGAGUGCAUCCUCAAAUGUCUGUGUGUACCUAAAUGAAGAUCCAGAGAAGCUGGUGAGGGAGUACAUGGACGUUGAUGAAUGCGCAGAAAUGGCCAAAGCCGAGGCUGUCCUCGGAAUCGUUGUCAUUGAGCAGAGGGUGCAGAGGCUGCCGAUGCACAUCUGGAUGUUGGGAUUGUCCUGGAGGAGGUGGAAGUUAUGAACAGCUUGGGCAGUGUAUCUUCUGCAAUAGUGAUGCUGCUGGGACUAAUCUAUGCACUAAACUUGAGCUACCCUCAAGUUUAGUGCGUUCAGCACUCAACUUGCUCAGUAACUCAAGCAUACCUUUGAAGUAAUACAGAAAAUAAUAAUGAAAUUGGAUGG